rnacentral:rRNA from 1 species
CAGCUAGUUGGUGAGGUAAUGGCUCACCAAGGCUCCGAUCCUUAGCUGUUCUGAGAGGAAGAUCAGCCACACUGGGACUGAGACACGGCCCAGACUCCUACGGGAGGCAGCAGUUGGGAAUCUUGGACAAUGGGGGAAACCCUGAUCCAGCCAUGCCGCGUGAGUGAUGAAGGCCUUCGGGUUGUAAAACUCUUUCGACGGGGACGAUAAUGACGGUACCCGUAGAAGAAGCUCCGGCUAACUUCGUGCCAGCAGCCGCGAUAAUACGAAGGGGGCUAGCGUUGUUCGGAAUUACUGGGCGUAAAGCGCGCGCAGGCGGCUAUCCAAGUCAGUGGUGAAAGCCCGGAGCUCAACUCCGGAACUGCCAUUGAAACUGUUUAGCUUGAGGACGAGAGAGGUGAGUGGAAUUCCCAGUGUAGAGGUGAAAUUCGUAGAUAUUGGGAAGACACCGGUGGCGAAGGCGGCUCACUGGCUCGUAUCUGACGCUCAGGCGCGACAGCGUGGGGAUCAAACAGGAUUAGAUACCCUGGUAGUC